ACUACAGGAUUCCUUAGUAACUGCGAGUGAAGAGGGAAAAGCUCAAAUUUAAAAUCUGGCAGUGUUUCACUGUCCGAGUUGUAACCUAGAGAAGUGUAACCUGCACUGGACCGUGUAUAAGUCUCCUGGAAUGGAGCAUCACAGAGGGUGAGAAUCCCGUCUUUGACAUGGACCACCAGUGCAUUGUGGUUGUGCUCUCAACGAGUCGAGUUGUUUGGGAAUGCAGCUCUAAAUGGGUGGUAAAUUCCAUCUAAAGCUAAAUAUUGGCGAGAGACCGAUAGCGAACAAGUACCGUGAGGGAAAGAUGAAAAGAACUUUGGAAAGAGAGUUAAACAGUAUGUGAAAUUGUUGAAAGGGAAACGUUUGAAGUCAGUCGCGUUGGUUGGGGAUCAGCCUGACAUUGUUGGGUUUACUUCCUGGUCGACGGGCCAACAUCAGUUUUGACUGCCAGAAAAAGGCCAAAGGAAUGUGGCACCUUUGGGUGUGUUAUAGCCCUUGGUCGUAUAUGGUGGUUGGGACUGAGGAAAGCAGCGUGCCGAAAGGCCGGGUUUCGACCACGAUCACGCUGAGGAUGUUGGCAUAAUGGCUUUAAGCGACCCGUCUUGAAACACGGACCAAGGAGUCUAACAUGCAUGCGAGUG
rnacentral:rRNA from 1 species